GCAGGACUUACGUUUGAUAGGUUGGGAAACUGAGGCAAAGGGACUCUGUACCCUGAGGGCAUAAAACCAACAAGGAACAGAGCUGGUGUGCUGGCCCGGGGUGAAUUGUCGAUUGAUUUGUUAUUUAUCCCACUGACAACAAAGCGAGCGAAAAGGUAAUAAUUCCAGGCCCUGGGGUAAUUCAAUUCCUGUAGCAUCGUCAGCUACAUUAACUUACUUCCUGGAUCUCAAUUCAAUUAGAGCAACAUUCCCCAGCAUUAAUAAAUCAAUACGCAUGCCAUU
rnacentral:lncRNA from 1 species